rnacentral:rRNA from 1 species
GCAAGUCGAACGGUAACAUUUCUUGCUUGCAAGAAGAUGACGAGUGGCGCACGGGUGCGUAACGCGUAUACAACCUGCCUUUAACAAAGGGAUAGCCCAUGGAAACGUGGAUUAAUACCUUAUAAUAUGUAGACAUGGCAUCAUGAUUACAUCAAAGAUUUAUCGGUUAAAGAGGGGUAUGCGUGACAUUAGCUAGUUGGUGAGGUAAUGGCUCACCAAGGCGACGAUCUAUAGCUGGUCUGAGAGGAUGAUC